rnacentral:rRNA from 1 species
AGCAGCCGCGGUAAUUCCAGCUCCAAUAGCGUAUAUUAAAGUUGUUGCAGUUAAAAAGCUCGUAGUUGAAUUUCGGGGUUAGUAAGUUGGUCAUGCCUCCGGUAUGUACUGGCUUUACUGAUUCCUCCUUCUUGAUGAACUGUAAUGUCAUUAAUUUGGUGUUGCAGGGAAUCGGGACUGUUACUUUGAAAAAUUAGAGUGUUUAAAGCAGGCAUACGCUUGAAUACAUUAGCAUGGAAUAAUGAAAUAGGACGUUUGAUCCUAUUUUGUUGGUUUCUAGGAUUGACGUAAUGAUUAAUAGGGAUAGUUGGGGGCAUUAGUAUUCAAUUGUCAGAGGUGAAAUUCUUGGAUUUAUUGAAGACUAACUACUGCGAAAGCAUUUGCCAAGGAUGUUUUCAUUAAUCAAGAACGAAAGUUAGGGGAUCGAAGACGAUCAGAUACCGUCGUAGUCUUAACCAUAAACUAUGCCGACUAGGGAUCGGAUGAUGUUAUUUUUAAUGACUCAUUCGGCGUCC